ACUACGGGGGGCAGCAGUGAGGAAUAUUGGUCAAUGGGCGCGAGCCUGAACCAGCCAAGUAGCGUGAAGGAUGACUGCCCUACGGGUUGUAAACUGCUUUUAUAAAGGAAUAAAGUGAGGCACGUGUGCCUUUUUGUAUGUACUUUAUGAAUAAGGAUCGGCUAACUCCGUGCCAGCAGCCGCGGUAAGCCGGAGGAUCCGAGCGUUAUCCGGAUUUAUUGGUUUGAAAGUGAGCGUAGUUGGGUUGUUAAGUCAGUUGUGAAAGUUUGCGGCUCAACCGUAAAAUUGCAAUUGAUACUGGCAGCCUUGCGUACAGUUGAGGCCGGCGGCAUUCGUGGUGUAGCUGUGAAAUGCUUAGCUAUCACGA
rnacentral:rRNA from 1 species